UACGUAGGGUGCAGGCGUUAAUCGGAAUUACUGGGCGUAAAGCGUGCGCAGGCGGCUCCUUAAGUCAGAUGUGAAAUCCCCGGGCUUAACCUGGGAACUGCGUUUGAAACUGGGGAGCUCGAGUGUGGAAGAGGGGGGUGGAAUUCCCGGUGUAGAGGUGAAAUUCGUAGAUAUCGGGAGGAACACCAGCGGCGAAGGCGACCGCCUGGACGGCUACUGACGCUGAGACGCGAAAGCGUGGGGAGCAAACAGG
rnacentral:rRNA from 1 species